UACGGGGGGGGUAAGCGUUGUUCGGAAUUACUGGGCGUAAAGGGCUCGUAGGCGGCCAACUAAGUCAGACGUGAAAUCCCUCAGCUUAACUGGGGAACUGCGUCUGAUACUGGAUGGCUUGGAUUUGGGAGAGGGAUGCGGAAUUCCAGGUGUGAGCGGUGAAAUGCGUAGAUAUCUGGAGGAACACCGGUGGCGAAGGCGGCAUCCUGGACCAAUAUUGACGCUGAGGAGCGAAAGCCAGGGAGCAAAGCGGG
rnacentral:rRNA from 1 species